AAUUCUAUUCCAUCCCUCUCCCAACCCUUCAUCCCGUUCAGCCUCUUCAUUGAUUGAAUUUGAAAACCAGCCCUUUCACUGAUCUUCUUCUAUUCACAGUAAAACCUUCCAUACAUCCCAGGUACACUUCUUUCCCUUUUCACCCUGAAUCAUUGAAACUUUCACACCAAAGACCAUAGAAAUUCACCACUUUCUAUGUUAAAACUUAGCCUUGUUUGUUUUCUGGGUCAUUUUCUUAUUUUUAUAUUCUUGGUGCGAGCAAAAUUUGAUCAUCAUAUGAUUUGUUGCUAAAAAAAAUUGAACUUUCUUAUCGUAAUGUUUGGACUAAUCCCACUUUGAAACAUACUCUUCCUUCUCUUAUCUUUGUGUCUUUUGUGUUUAGGUCUUUUUCCAAACACUUCAUUGUGGUCAAGUAAAGCAUAUUGUUAUACACUUGUAAUCAGAAUUGCAUUAAUGCUAGUAACAGGGAUUCUAUAAAUAAAAGGCAGUAACGUUGUAAAUUUAGGAAAGAACAUUAAUCUUAAAAGAUAAAAUCAAGAUAUGGAACAAGCAUCGGGGGAAGGAGCACUACAUAGAGGGAAGCUGUAAACAAUAUUCCCUCCGUCCCAAAUUACCCAUCCUAAUUUGAGAUGACACAUUGAUUAAAAAAAAUAAUUGUUAACAUGCCUAGUUUACCAUUGUACCCCUAUUAAAUGAUGUUUACAUUUUAAUUUGAAGAAAAAGUAAUUAAUGCAAAG
rnacentral:lncRNA from 1 species